GUAGCUUAGUGGUUAGGGUAUUCGACUCAUGAUCGCAUGGACGUGAGUUCAAUUCUCACC
rnacentral:tRNA from 1 species